rnacentral:rRNA from 1 species
AGAGUUUGAUUCUGGCUCAGGAUGAACGCUAGCUACAGGCUUAACACAUGCAAGUCGAGGGGCAGCAUUAGAUUAGCUUGCUAAUUUAGAUGGCGACCGGCGCACGGGUGAGUAACGCGUAUCCAACCUUCCCCCUGCUCAGGGAUAGCCCGGUGAAAACCGGAUUAAGACCUGAUAGUUUCACUAGAUGGCAUCUGACGGUGAAUAAAGGUUUCGGCAAGGGAUGGGGAUGCGUCUGAUUAGCUUGUUGGCGGGGUAACGGCCCACCAAGGCGACGAUCAGUAGGGGUUCUGAGAGGAAGGUCCCCCACAUUGGAACUGAGACACGGUCCAAACUCCUACGGGAGGCAGCAGUGAGGAAUAUUGGUCAAUGGGCGGAAGCCUGAACCAGCCAAGUAGCGUGCAAGGAUGACGGCCCUAUGGGUUGUAAACUGCUUUUGUGCGGGAAUAAAGUCAGGGACGCGUCCCUGUUUGCAUGUACCGCAAGAAUAAGGACCGGCUAAUUCCGUGCCAGCCGCAGC